rnacentral:misc_RNA from 1 species
GAUGAAGAACGCAGCGAAAUGCGAUAAGUAAUGUGAAUUGCAGAAUUCAGUGAAUCAUCGAAUCUUUGAACGCACAUUGCGCCCGCCAGCAUUCUGGCGGGCAUGCCUGUUCGAGCGUCAUUUCAACCCUCGAGCCCCCCCGGGGGCCUCGGUGUUGGGGGACGGCACACCAGCCGCCCCCGAAAUGCAGUGGCGACCUCGCCGCAGCCUCCCCUGCGUAGUAGCACACACCUCGCACCGGAGCGCGGAGACGGUCACGCCGUAAAACGCCCAACUUCUUAGAGUUGACCUCGGAUCAGGUAGGAAUACCCGCUGAACUUAAGCAUAUCAUAAGCGGAGGA